CCUACGGGUGGCAGCAGUGAGGAAUAUUGGUCAAUGGGCGCGAGCCUGAACCAGCCAAGUCGCGUGAGGGAAGACGGUCCUAUGGAUUUUAAACCUCUUUUGUCGGGGAGCAAAAGACGCCACGCGUGGCGUUCCGAGAGUACCCGAAGAAAAAGCAUCGGCUAACUCCGUGCCAGCAGCCGCGGUAAUACGGAGGAUGCGAGCUUUAUCCGGAUUUAUUGGGUUUAAAUGGUGCGCAGGCGGAAGAUCAAGUCAGCGGUAAAAUUGAGAGGCCAAAACGCUUAGAGCCGUUGAAACUGGUUUUCUUGAGAGAGCGAGAAGUAUGCGGAAUGCGUGGUGUAGCGGUGAAAUGCAUAGAUAUAACGCAGAACUCCGAUUGCGAAGGCAGCAUACCGGCGCUCAACUGACGAUCAUGCACGAAAGUGUGGGUAUCGAACAGGAUUAGAUACCCGGGUAGUC
rnacentral:rRNA from 1 species